rnacentral:lncRNA from 1 species
UCCCUUAUCAAAGGAGGCACUGAAUCAGCACCUAACCCAGCUCCUUAUCUCAUUGUAGGAGUGCUGUGUGUGUGUGUGGGGGUUGUCACUGAGAGCAAAGGUCUCUUUAGGCAGAGCUACUUUAGUUAGUCUGGAGUUUAGGUGACGCUGCUGAGAAAAAUUUCAACUGAAACUACCCCGGCAGGCAGGGGUCGAAGGGUGCAGCCUCUGUGUGUGUGCGUGUUGCCCCAGAGGCUUGGGUGUUCUGAGGUGUGUGUGUGUGUGUGUGUGUGUGUGUGUGUGUGUUGCCCUAGGGGCUUGGGUGUUCUGAGGUGUAAGUGCAUUCUUGCAGCUGAAAGGUCGUUAUAGCAGAAGGUACUGACCAGGUGUCCCUCUCAAACUUCUCUCUAGCUUCCCUUCCCCCACCCUCACACACCCUGUGUGUGUUGUGUGUGUGUGUGUGUGUGUGUGUGUGUGUGUUGUGUGUGUGUGUGUGUGUGUGUGUGUGUGUGUGUGUGUGUGUGUGUGUGUGUGUGUGUGUGUGUGUGUACUUCGGGGAACAGAAGCAGAAGUAGCCCUGAGUUUGUGAAUGAGCUGUGAUUUUUUUUUUUUUUCUUUCUUCAUGCUUCGUGUGGUUUUCAGAAGCUAGUUCUUGAAUCACACUUCCUGUGGAUGUGUGUGGUCACUGGGGUUUAUGUGGAGGUUACAUUCCCUGUGUGUGUGUGUGUGUGUGUGUGUGUGUGUGUCUUUGUCUCCUGCGUAAACGUUUGCACUCUGGACCUGUGAUGCACGGUGGGCUUUGUGCUAUCUGCUGAACUUUAAGUCAAUGAUGGGUCAGCAGGAUCCCAGAUACACACCCAGACAGAUAAACAAACACGCCGGUCUGUGUGCAACUUCUAAAGUUGAAGAGGAAUAGCUCCGUCUAAAGAGUUCUAGUCCUGCCUUUAGCACACUACUCAAAGAUGUGGUCAGUGUAGGGAGGAGAUUGCCUUACUCGAGGCACUGCUGUGUGUGUGUGUGUGGGCAUUGCGCUCUUCCUCAGCAGCUGUGUGUGAAUGGCUGCUGUGUUUCCCCACUCACACAGAGCCAAGUUGAGAGACACACACACACACACACACACUCAAAUCCACAAAUCCUCCAUAUGCAUGUCCAUGUGACUGAAAUGGAGUUCUUUGUUUGAGCAGACUACGAACAGACACACGCACUUACACAUACUCACAAACACACUCACUCUUGUCUUCCCACACUUUUGUGUAAAAACCAGUAAUUACAACUGGUGUAUCUUGUACAUAUUAGUGGUGAGGCCUCAAAGUAUUUCCUUUUUUCAACCGUGACUGUUGAAGUUGGCUUGGCUCCCACACACACACACACACACACACACACAACAGCACUGUUUUUAGCUUUUCUUUUUUUUAAUGCCAAAAAAUGUUUGAGGGAAAGAAAGAGGAGUGGCUCAGAAAGAUUGUUGUAAAGAAAAGAGAAACUAAAUGUUUUGUUAAGUCUGAUUCUACUGGAAGUCAAGUCUUAUUCUACUCGCCACAUUCCCAUUGAUCUGCCAUUGGCACAGCUAGCGGCAUGCUAGCGUAUCCAUUUUCAUC